AGAACGAACGCUGGCGGCAUGCCUAACACAUGCAAGUCGAACGAGACCUCCGGGUCUAGUGGCGCACGGGUGCGUAACGCGUGGGAAUCUACCCUUGGGUUCGGAAUAACAGUUGGAAACGACUGCUAAUACCGGAUGAUGACGUAAGUCCAAAGAUUUAUCGCCCAGGGAUGAGCCCGCGUAGGAUUAGCUAGUUGGUGAGGUAAAGGCUCACCAAGGCGACGAUCCUUAGCUGGUCUGAGAGGAUGAUCAGCCACACUGGGACUGAGACACGGCCCAGACUCCUACGGGAGGCAGCAGUGGGGAAUAUUGGACAAUGGGCGAAAGCCUGAUCCAGCAAUGCCGCGUGAGUGAUGAAGGCCUUAGGGUGUAAAGCUCUUUUACCCGGGAAGAUAAUGACUGUACCGGAGAAUAAGCUCCGGCUAACUCCGCGCCAGCAGCCGC
rnacentral:rRNA from 1 species